CAUCAUUGAGAUUUAAUCAGUGGACGGCUGACGGGCGACUGAUUUGAACGUGCCAUUAGAGUUUUAAAUAAAAAAUAAAAUAAGAAAAAAAAAAACAAUGAACGUGCAUCACGCUAUGGUUCGGAGCAGGCUGCUGAAGCCUAAUUUCAGCCUGGGAAAAUUGGUAAAAAUGUCAACGGAACAGCCCCAAACGACUGGGGCUACGACCCCCGGGGCGGACAGCGUGGUAGACCCCAGUAUAGCAGCCCCAACCCCGGCUCCCCGCAAGCAGGCGAGGCCGCGGGGCAAGCCACAGCCUGAGAAGCCUAAACGGAGCUUGUUCUGCUUAGGACUUAAGAACCCUCUGAGGAAGUUGUGCUAUGAUAUUGUUGAGUGGAAACCAUUUGAAUACAUGAUAUUGACGACGAUUUUUGCAAAUUGUAUAGCUUUAGCAGUUUUCACACCGUAUCCGUCCAGUGAUACUAAUAAUACUAAUCAAAUAUUGGAAAAAGUAGAAUGGAUAUUCAUGGUGAUAUUCACCGGGGAGUGCGUGAUGAAGAUCAUCGCCUACGGCUUUCUGUUCCACCCGGGAGCGUAUCUCAGGAACACCUGGAAUAGUUUGGAUUUCACCAUCGUUACUAUUGGUAUAGCGAGUAUGAUCCUGCAAUACAUUUCAAAAGACUCAUUUGACGUGAAAGCUUUAAGAGCUUUCCGAGUGUUGAGGCCUCUUCGACUGGUCUCUGGUGUGCCAAGUCUCCAAAUUGUGUUAAAUUCCAUAUUGAAAGCAAUGGUGCCGUUGUUCCACAUCGCUUUCUUAGUCCUGUUCGUGAUCAUCAUCUACGCCAUCAUCGGCUUGGAGCUGUUCUCUGGCAUCUUACAUGAAACGUGCUUCAAGAAUGGGACUAAAGAUGAGCUCAUAGACGACCCAAGUCCUUGCAACAGUGAGCCUGGUGACUUCGGCUACAAGUGUCCUGAGAACUACGUCUGCCGCGGCGACUGGCCCGGAAUCAACUACGGUAUCACCAACUUCGAUAACAUCGGCUAUGCUAUGCUGACCGUCUUCCAGUGUAUCACUCUUGAAGGGUGGACUGAUAUUAUGUAUGCUAUAGCCAAUGUGAAAGGCAACACAUGGCCGUGGAUCUACUUCGUGACGCUCGUCAUCUUUGGUAACUUCUUCGUCAUGAAUCUCAUUCUCGGUGUGUUGUCUGGAGAAUUCUCCAAAGAAAGAGAAAAAGCGAAGAAUCGAGGUGAUUUUCAAAAAUCCCGUGAGAGGCAACAGUUUGAAGAAGAUUUGAAAGGAUACCUGAAUUGGAUCACAGUAGCUGAAGAGUUGGACCUGGAGAAUGAUCAGGGACAGAAAGAGGAUGAUACGGACUCACAAGGUAAAAAAGACAGAAAAAGCAACGAAGGAUCUCAAAGCAAUAUAAAUACAAGUACUGAACAAGGACACGGGUCUACCUGCAAGAUUUACUGUAGGAGGUUCGAUAAGGUGAAUCGGCGCUUACGAAGACAAUGCAGGAAGGCGGUAAAAUCUCAGACGUUCUACUGGGCUAUCAUUGUACUCGUAUUCUUGAACACGUUGGUGUUAGCUACUGAACAUCAUGACCAACCACACUGGUUAGACCACUUCCAGAACUACGCUAAUUAUUUCUUCGUCGUGCUGUUUACUAUGGAGAUGUUGGUGAAGAUGUACGCACUGGGUUUACAAGGUUACUUCGUCUCCCUGUUCAACCGUUUCGACUGCUUCGUGAUGUUCUGUUCCAUCGUGGAGCUGGCGCUGACCAUCACGGACACCAUUCCUCAGCUUGGUAUAUCUGUGUUGCGGUGUGUUCGACUGCUCAGGGUGUUUAAGGUUACCAAGUAUUGGCGUUCCCUCUCAAACUUGGUAGCUUCUCUUCUGAACUCAAUCCAGUCCAUCUUCUCUUUACUUCUACUUCUCUUCUUGUUCAUCAUGAUCUUCGCGCUGCUGGGCAUGCAGGUCUUCGGAGGGAGAUUUGAUUACGAGCCUGAAGAGGAGAAAGAGAGACACAAUUUUGACUCUUUUUGGCAAGCAGUGCUGACUAUGUUUCAGAUAUUAACUGGUGAAGAUUGGAAUGCUGUAAUGUACCACGGUAUCAACGCGUACGGUGGUGUCGGCACGGCUGGGAUGCUGGCCUCUAUUUACUUCAUCGUCAUCUUCAUCUGCGGUAACUAUAUCUUGCUGAACGUGUUCUUGGCUAUCGCUGUCGACAAUCUGGGAGAUGCUGAGGAGAUGGAUGAAAUACAAAAGGAGAAAGAUGAAGCUGAAAAUCCAGAAGCAGGUAAUCCACAACUGGAUGAAGAGAGAGGCGAGACUGAUGAUGAAUACGUCAACGAAGAAGAAGGAUAUUCUAGUGAAGGGUCAGACCACGAGUAUGAAGAGACUGGUUCAGAAGAAGAUGUGGAGGAGCAGGAACAAGAAACGAGAGACGAAGCCAACGAUACUUUAGUCGGAAUUGAGAAGAAACAAAAUGGAGAUAUAAAAAAAGAUGAUUCACCAAAGCGUCAGCUAGCCGCGACUUCAGCUCGACCCAGGAGGCUGUCUGACGUGGAAAUGAAGAAUGAGGAUAAACCGAUUCCCGAAGCCAGCAGUUUCUUCAUCUUCUCUAAUACUAACUGGUUCCGAGUGACGUGCUACAAAAUCCAGAAAAACUCGUGGUUCAAGAAUUUGAUUCUGCUGUGUAUUCUUGCGUCGUCUCUCAUGUUGGCUAUGGAGGAUCCUGUGGGAUCGAAAGAUAGUGAGACUCAGACUGAGAUUCUUCGUAAAAUAGAUUACUUCUUCACCGCUGUGUUUACCUUGGAGCUGAUACUGAAGGUCAUAACCUACGGCUUCAUCUUACACAAGGAUGCGUUCUGCAGAUCUGCAUUCAAUCUGCUGGAUUUACUCGUCGUCAUUGUGUCUUUGAUUUCUUUGGAUGGGUCCAAAAACACUGUGAACUUCAUUAAGAUUUUGAGAGUGUUUCGAGUUUUGAGACCUUUGAGAGCAAUCAACAGAGCUAAAGGAUUGAAGCACGUAGUACAAUGUGUGAUCGUCGCUAUUAAGACGAUUGGCAACAUUUUGUUGGUGACAAAUCUUCUACAGUUCAUGUUUGCUGUCAUGGGAGUGCAAAUGUUCAAGGGUAAAUUCUAUAGAUGUACAGAUAUCACCAAAGUUACGGAAGAGGAAUGCGCGGGCACAUACCUAAUUUACAAGAAUGGCAAGCUUGUGAUAGAGGAACGGUUUUGGAUUCGAAACAAGUUCAAUUUCGAUGAUGUACUCAAUGGAAUGCUGACUCUCUUCACCGUGUCCACCUUUGAGGGGUGGCCUGGAUUACUGUCAACAUCGAUGGAUUCUAACGAGGAGCGUCACGGACCCAUAGAGAACUCCAGACCUCUAGUCGCCUUCUUCUACAUCAGCUACAUUAUUGUUAUAGCGUUCUUCAUGGUGAACAUCUUCGUAGGUUUCGUCAUAGUAACAUUCCAGAAAGAAGGAGAGCAGGAGUUCAAGGACUGCGAGCUGGACAAGAAUCAGAGGAAUUGCAUAGAAUUCGCGUUGAAGGCUAAACCUGUUAGACGAUAUAUCCCAAAGCACAGGAUCCAAUACAAGACCUGGUGGUUUGUGACGUCACAGCGGUUUGAAUACUGUAUCUUCUUCUUCAUCGUGCUGAACACGGUGGCGCUCAUGAUGAAGUUCCAUGGAGCAUCGCAGGAUUAUAAGAAGGGUCUGGAUUUCGUAAACAUGGUGCUGACAACAGUUUUCAUGCUUGAAUUUGUGUUCAAGUUAGCUGCAUUUAGAUUUAAGAAUUAUUUCGGAGACGCGUGGAAUACGACAGAUUUCAUAUUAGUAGUUGGUAGUAUUAUAGACAUUGUGGUCACUCAAGUUAAUGAAAACAAGAAACCAGUUGUGUUUGGGCACGUCACCAAAGCUAAUAAAGAUGGUUCAAACCUACUCAAAUACAUAACAUUCUUCCGUCUCUUCCGAGCCAUGCGUCUGAUCAAGCUGCUGUCCCGAGGAGAGCGCAUCAGGACUCUUCUAUGGACCUUCAUCAAGUCGUUCCAAGCGCUGCCUUAUGUAGCCUUGUUGAUUGUUCUACUGUUCUUUAUUUAUGCUGUCGUUGGGAUGCAGCUUUUCGGUAAAGUGUUUCCAGACGACGAUGUAAUCAGCAGCAACAAUAACUUCAAGACAUUUGGAGGAGCUCUCAUGGUGCUAUUCAGAUCUGCUACAGGAGAAGCAUGGCAAGACAUAAUGAUGGCGUUAUCCCCGAACAUAGACGAGCGUCCAGGGGCACCCUUGCACUGCAUGAAGCCGGACCGCUAUGACAAGGAUGCCCAGCCCGAUCUGAAUACCGACUGCGGAAAUUGGAUGGCCUUCCCUUACUUUAUCUCGUUCUCGCUACUUUGUACUUUUUUGAUCAUCAACCUGUUCGUGGCCGUCAUCAUGGAUAACUUCGACUACUUGACCAGAGAUUGGUCCAUUUUGGGACCUCAUCAUCUUGAUGAAUUCGUUAGAUUAUGGAGUGAAUAUGACCCUGACGCGAAGGGAAGAAUCAAGCACUUGGACGUUGUAACAUUGUUAAGGAAAAUUAGUCCACCUUUAGGUUUCGGCAAGCUCUGUCCUCACCGGACAGCAUGCAAACGUCUAGUGUCUAUGAACAUGCCGUUGAACUCUGACGGCACUGUCAACUUCAACGCUACGCUCUUUGCCGUAGUUAGAACACAGCUGCAGAUUAAGACUACAGGUGUUAUCGACGAAUGCAACACCGAACUCCGAGCAAUCAUCAAAAAGGUUUGGAAACGAACGUCGCCGAAGCUUCUAGAUCAAGUGGUACCUCCCCCAGGGGAUCCUAAUGAGAUCACCGUUGGAAAGUUCUACGCUACAUUCCUUAUUCAGGACUAUUUCAGAAGGAACCAUGCAUUCAGAAAGCGCAAGGAGCAGGCUGCUGCAGCAUCCCUGCAGAACAAUCAGAUGACAUUACAAGCUGGAUUGAGGACCUUACAUGAAGCUGGACCGGAGUUGAAGAGAGCUAUAUCUGGGAACUUGGAUGAAUGCGUCGGAGAAGUCGUUGAGCCUAUGCAUAGGCGCAACCACACACUGUUUGGCGCAGUAUGGACGAGUAUCAAGAAGCAUGGCCGCGAGAGUUUCUACGGGAGGGACAGACGCACUGCCAUGCAAAAUAUGUCACCCAAUCAAAAUGGUGUUGACAAAGAUGGCCAAUCGCUUAGCACCAUGAUGAGGAGAGAGCUGGGCAUGGAUGGCCAGAUACCUGAAGAGGAAAUUAAACACGAAGACGGCAAUCAAAGCGACGAAGAAAUCGCGAUGCAACCUCUCCUUCACGGCAAGGACUCGGAAAAGAUAUUCAAAGCUAUAGAAUCGUGACAAAAAGACGAGACCCCUCAACAACGUGCCUUAUUGCAUAGAGAAUCCAGCGGAGAAUCUUAUUACUCGAGUACUGACGGAGCAGGGGCUCGGCAAGUACUGUGACAAGGACUUCAUUCAGAGCACCUCGCGCGAGAUGCA
rnacentral:misc_RNA from 1 species